rnacentral:rRNA from 1 species
AUACGUUGAGCUAACCAGUACUAAUGACCCGAGAGGCUUAACCUUACAACACCGAAGGUGUUU